AGACUAAGCCAUGCAUGCCUCCGAAUAGAAGAGCUUUCUCUCUGAAUCUGCGUACGGCUCCGCACACCAGUUGUAAACCAUAGCAAGCAGGCUCGGUGGGGUGGGGCAACCCGUUCUGCUGGGCCACAAGGAUAACCCUGGUAAUUCUGAGGCUAAUACAAGAACGUACCACUCGGUGGACCGGGCAACCGGGAAGCUGGGGGGUGUGUGAAGCAUCGCAUAAAACCAGUGGGAAUAGUCGCACGCUCUGACCACCAUACAAACGUUCUCGGUCGCAGUAGCCCUUCGGGGAGGCUCGGCUGGGUUCGGGUGGCUCUUGCAAAGUGCUUCUGACCUAUCAACUAGAUGGCAGCGUAAGGGACAUGCUAUGGUGACAACGGGUACAGAGGAUAAGGGUUCGAUCCUGGAGAGUGGGCCUGAGAGAUCGCUCACACUUCUAAGGAAGGCAGCAGGCGCGCAACGUUCCCAGUGGACAAAGUCCGAGGGCGUUAGGGGAAAUAUGGAUGUCUGCCAUAUGGUGGACAAUCCAAAUGGGUUCGUUCUAAACAGCCCUUCGAGUAACAAUUAGAGG
rnacentral:rRNA from 1 species